CGAACGGAACUUCUUUGACAGAAUUCUUCGGAAGGAAGUUGAUUAAGUUUAGUGGCGGACGGGUGAGUAACGCGUGAGUAACCUGCCUUUGAGAGGGGAAUAACUUCCCGAAAGGGAUGCUAAUACCGCAUGAUGCAUAUUUAUCGCAUGGUAGAUGUGCCAAAGAUUUAUCGCUCAAAGAUGGACUCGCGUCCGAUUAGCCAGUUGGCGGGGUAACGGCCCACCAAAGCGACGAUCGGUAGCCGGACUGAGAGGUUGAACGGCCACAUUGGGACUGAGACACGGCCCAGACUCCUACGGGAGGCAGCAGUGGGGGAUAUUGCGCAAUGGGGGAAACCCUGACGCAGCAACGCCGCGUGAAGGAUGAAGGUUUUCGGAUUGUAAACUUCUUUUAUUUAGGACGAACAAUGACGGUACUAAAUGAAUAAGCUCCGGCUGACUACGUGCCAGCAGCCGCGGUAAUACGUAGGGAGCAAGCGUUAUCCGGAUUUACUGGGUGUAAAGGGUGCGUAGGCGGCUUGGUAAGUCAGAUGUGAAAUGUAUGGGCUCAACCCAUGCACUGCAUUUGAAACUAUUGAGCUUGAGUGAAGUAGGGGUAGGCGGAAUUCCCUGUGUAGCGGUGAAAUGCGUAGAGAUAGGGAGGAACACCAGUGGCGAAGGCGGCCUACUGGGCUUUAACUGACGCUGAGGCACGAAGGCGUGGGUAGCAAACAGGAUUAGAUACCCUGGUAGUCCACGCUGUAAACGAUGAUUACUAGGUGUGGGGGGUCUGACCCCUUCCGUGCCGGAGUUAACA
rnacentral:rRNA from 1 species